rnacentral:lncRNA from 1 species
UCACCCUGCUGUUUCCUGUGGGGACUGCCUGAGCCUUUAAAAAAAAAAAAACACUGGCUAGGGGCAGUGGCUCACGCCUGUAAUUCCAGAACUUUGGGAGGCCAAGGCAGGCAGAUCACCUGAGGUCAGGAGUUCCAGACCAGCCUGGCCAACAUGGCAAAACCCUGUCUCUACUAAAAAUACAAAAAUUAGCUGGGCAUGGAGGGCACACCUGUAAUCCCAGCUACUCAGGAGGCUGAGGCAGGAGAAUCACUUGAACCCAGAAGGUGGAGGUUGCAGUGAGCCAGAAUUGUGCCACUGCACUCCAGCCUGGGUGAGAAGAAACAAACUGCGUCUCAAAAAAAAAAAACAAAAAAAACCUAAACAUACUUGCUAUCAUUUCUAGCCUAACACUUCAAAUAUAAAUUGAGUCUCAGAUUAGCUUACUCACAUGUUUCCAGCCCUGUGUUGGUGUUUCUAACUCCUUCUCACAAGGGUUUUGACAAGGUUGAGCAGGGGCCAAGGAGUAAGCUUUGAUCAUAAGUAUUGAAAACCUUCUCCUUUCUCUAGCUGGUUAGAUUAAAAAAAAAAAAUCACCUAUUGCUUAAAAAAAGAGCUGCAUUCUUUUCUGCGCCCUCUCUAACUCUGUAAAGCAUAUUCGUUCUGUGCUUGAGUCUCCUAGGCUUUGCUCUUGCUGGUCACAGGCAAAUAUCUGGAAUUCUAAUACACACAGCAAACAGCAACAGUUACAAAACA